rnacentral:rRNA from 1 species
UCCGGAUGCAUAAUGAAAGUAAUAGGCUCUAGACCGACCGAUCUUUUGUAGAAAGGAUUUGAGUAGGAGCGUAUUUGUUGGGACCCGAAAGAUGAUGAACUAUGCCCGAAUAGGCCGAAGUCGCCCGAAAGGGCGAUGGAGGGUCGCAGCGGUUCUGACGUGCAAAUUUUAUUGUCAAAUUUGGGUAUAGGGGCGAAAGACUAAUCGAAUCAUCUAGUAGCUGGUUCCAGUCGAAGUUUCCCUCAGGAUAGCAGUGAUGGAUCAGUUUUAUGAGGUAAAGCGAAUGAUUAGUAGCAUUGGGGUUGAAAAAGCCUCGACUUAUUCUCNAACUGCGAA